rnacentral:tRNA from 1 species
GUCCAGGCAGCUUAGGGGGGUCGGUGGAAGGCUGGUUAAACCGUUUGGUUUUCGACCACUAGGACCCGGGUUCGAUUCCUGCAUUGGACA